GGGUCGUUAGCUCAGUCGGUAGAGCAGCUGGCUUUUAACCAGUAGGUCGCAGGUUCGAGUCUUGCACGACCCACCA
rnacentral:tRNA from 1 species